rnacentral:lncRNA from 1 species
CUGCUGCAGGCCACCCCAGAGAUGAUAUCAACUGAUGUUGUGCAAUGGACAGGCUCUGGUCUUGCUAUGGCUGAAUAUUGCUUGGAGAAACUCCAUGAGGUUUUGUAUUCUCCCUAGGGAAGGUAAGCUUCCCCAAAUUUCAGGACAAAUUUCCUACGGUCCAAGCCAGACCAACUCUUGGAUGGGCACCAUUAAGGCUUCUAUCUCUCUACCAUUCAUCCCAUCAGCACAAUACCCAUCUUGGGGUUUGGGAUUCUUUUAGAAGACCCAUAUCUCAUGUAAGACACACAUUGGGCCAAUUCUUAAUCUUGGAUCUGCAGGGACUGGGUGGUUGAGUGAUAACUACAGAGCAUCUGAUGAAGAGUGGAUACAGCCAGGCUCUACCUACCUAUAGGAAUUUAUUUGUUAAGGACAGUG